ACACCGUGUCCCUGGAAUCGUCCAGCUUGAGAGCAGUGCAAGAAGUUGUCGCCAGAAGUGCACAGGCUACUUGUACAGAGAAAAAUUAGUACUCAAAGAAAAUCUUCAUUUUUUUUUUAGGUUGACUUUGGGAAUUCAAAUUUUCAUCAGCGCAGAUAUAAAUUUCUCUAUCCUGCUCUGAGGCUAAUUGGUACCAUAUUUUCCCUCUGUGUCUUAUCACUCUGCCAAGUCUUGUCUCAUCCCGGCCUCUGAAUCAAGGACCCAGUGAACUGACUUUCUAGUUCUAGAAGUUCUGCUGCAAGGCCAGGAAAACUUGAGGAAGGUUUGUGGAAGAAGCAAAGGUGGACCCUAUCACUCACCUUUACCGGCACCUCUGGGCCUGUGAAUGAUGACACAUCUGACAUUUUGCACCAGCUACCUCUGCUUCCAUGGCAGAGAAAAGGCCAUCAGAACUAACAGUGGAAAAGGAGCAUGGACUCAGACGUCAAGGAAGAAGCCAUUUUCCCAGGUCCUCCUUUCCACAUCUCACCACCCCUAGUUACAGAUAACUCCAUUGAACAGCAUCUAUUCAAAAACUAUACUGAAUAAAAAGAUUGGUGGAAGGGCUCACGUGGGUAGCAACUACGAAACAGAAGUAGGACACUCAGUUACAAACAUUAUCUCUUUUAGUUUUUCAGAAAAUGCAUCCCUGAUUUCAUUCAUUCCCAGCUUGAAAGCCCAGCCAUAUUACUCUAGUCCCUGAAAAACUGCUCUAUAAGGUCAUUUCUGUUUUGUUUGUGAUAUUUAGACGUGCAGACUUCAGGAAGUUCACCUUUAACUUCAGCAUUCCAGAUGAAGUUUCCUCACCCAGUGCUUUUGCAUAAGGAACUAGAAAAAAAAAAAGUGGGAAGAAAUGAAAGCUACACCCUGCAGGAAUUGCCAAAACCCCAAAUGACUACCAAGUAUUUAAAGGAUAAUAAGAGAAAGGAUUCCUGAAGCCAAAGCUCCUCAGAGUCACCCUAAUGUGAACCAGCCCAGUGAUAUUCGAGAAGGUCAAAGUGAAGUCAUGAUAAUGGGCCUUGAGGAAGUUCUAACUUUGACCGUUUGUCUGAUGAUUAAAGAAACUCUGGUCCUGCUGUUUCUUGGCCCAGGAGAUCUGGUCCAGGCAGCACCUCAUGGCCACAAGAUACCAUAUCUGUCUCUAUCGUUGGUUUUUAUAUACUAACAUUUAUUAUUAUUAUACAGAUGUUGAGUCUUACAUGAGGAGGCUCCUUCAGUCUGACAAUGCAUUUUAUAAAAAUUAGGCCCUGUUUCUUGUUUGUGUUUCUAAGGCGGCCUAAAUCCACCAACAUUUGGUUGAGUAGGGCCAGGGUAAGGAGGAUAAGCAAAUGUGAUUCUAGAGGGCAAGGGAGGGUGUAUAUCCCACACAAAUUCCUACACAUAAAUACACACAGAUUUGGUAGGUGUUGUCUGAAGUAUUUAUGGGGGAACAAAACCUUUUUUCUCAAAGUUAGGAUGAACUACAAAUAAUACUUCUCUUAGAUGAGGCUGAACAUUGAUUUAGAUUUAUCCUAAGGUAGGGGUGGGAAGACCAUUAGAAAAACAAAAAGAAACAACUUAGGAAAAAGUGAGGUUGACAAGAGAAACUUCAUCUUUGUAGUUUUGCAUAAGAUGGAUUCCAUACCUGGAAACUGUCUCCUGUGCUCUGAGAAUCAAAGAAAAAGCAAGGACAGUGGUCUGCUUACAAAGGAAGUCGUGCGGCUUUCCUUGUGGACAUUAACCACUCUUCCCAGAACAGCUCCACUUGAGUGAAGUGAGUGAUUCAGAGCAAGC
rnacentral:lncRNA from 1 species